AGGUAGCAUUUAAAAGAUAAGAUGCUUACCUGAUACAAUCUUCCUGAACGUAUCAUUUCCUGCUUGUGGUAGUGUUAGCAAGUUCUGGAAGUCUGAAAUGAUAAGACAGCUGC